UAGACGACACUGUGUAAGAUCGACCAACGCUCGAAGACGUUGUUCUUCCAACUUGAAGCAGUCGACGUCGCCGAAGGUUGCCUAAGAAAGAGUUCUACCAGACGAAAUAGUUCGACUACAGAAGAAAUAGUUCUACCGGUGCGACGAAGACGUAAGAGACUGCGUAAGAAAGAGUUUUACAUGCGCUCCAUUGAAGCAAUGGCUGUGACAUUUGAAACUUGGCUAUGGAAGAAAGAGUUCCUCGGUCUUGAAGCUGCCACGCACUUCCCAGAUUCGAGCAGAUUUGAGUAGAUGACGAACAACGGCAAGGAAAUUGUGAAAGAGGCGGAUGACGUCAUUCUAUUACAGUCCCAAACUGACAACAUUUUGGAAAGUGAGAAAGUCGUGGAUGAUGGAAUUGAAGGGGUAGACAGUGUGAUUGUGCCUGCUGUGGGUAUAAAGUUCAACAUAAUACAGUUUCUUAAAUGCUUUACCAUUGCGAGAUGCAGAUUCUUAUAGGUGGCUAUAAGAGGAAGACAACUUCAUGCAGAUUCUGUGCACUGUCAACACCUUGGAUUUGGCUUGUUGAGGCAUGUGAAUAGCUUGAUCAAGCAGUUAAUGUAUUAGGUUUUAUGUCCAUCAUGUCUCUGUUAUGUCCAACUGUAAAGACUAUGUUUGGUCUGAUGUUAUGCAGUUAAUGUAGUCAGUUUUGAUGACUAUGUUUGGUCUGAUGUUAUGUAGUUAAUGUAGUCAGUUUUGAGGCUUGUCAAUACGUUGGGAUUAAUUGUAUUGAUCUUGUUAAAAUUAUUCCCAAACAGUUGUAGCAACUUCCGUUCAACAGCAUAAUUAAGAUUGAAGCUUAAAG